CCCAGAUGAUGCCACCUGCACUCCAGCCUGGGCAACAGUGAGGCCCUAUCUCAAAAAAAAAAAAAAAGUCAUUUAUUACAAAGAUAGGAACUCAUGAAUUUAUGAAAGUUGAAGAACUAGGAUUAAGGAUGGGUGGGAACUAAGAUUGACAGGUACUUGUAACAGUACAGCUAGGGUGCUGUUGAUGACAUGAAUGAACUCCAAUCUUUUCCUGUAGUCAUUUUCUCAAGAUUCAAAGUCAUGGAAAAAAAAGAGUAGAAUGAACCAAACUUAGGUAAAGAGUCACCAGCCUGGCAGUGAAAAUAGUGUAGUUUCUUUGACUUUAUUAUGAGGAAACAGAUUCCUGGAUUGACAGUCUCACCAAAACUAUACACAAUGUCUUUUUUCAUUUUUUCUCAGACUUCUCAGAGAUGAAUAUAUACAAUUUCUGACAAAGAAAGCUGAGUACCUUUAGGAAGGGAAAAGGAAUGCUGAAUAUCCCCAAACAACACGUUUAUUACGUAUUUAUCCUGACCUAAAGAUGACCCUAGUCAUGGAGAAGUGGCACAGUGACCUCUACCCCUGAGAGAAAACCUGUCUUUCCAGCCAGAGGAAGCAGGAAAAAAUGAUCCUAUGGUCUGAAGAAUGUGGAAAAAUCCAUCUUUUUUUUUUCCUCUCUGCUUUCUGCCUGAGGGGGGUUCCUUUUGCCAAAAUGAGCAGACAGUGUGGGCAGGUAAUCAACAGAGAGAAAGCCCAUCUUUCUAAGUCACAGAUGAGGAAAAGGGGCCCCCUGGGUGCCAGGGAGACUGGGGGGAAAUCCUGAAGAGCAAAGACCUGAAAAGAGAAUUCUCUAAUUCUGUACAUGAGCUGAAUUACAUGCUCAGCCCAGAGCUGCACAUACCAGACGCAGAGCCCAAGCAGCACAGCCACACUCUGAACUGACAUUCUGACCACCACUACCAAACAGAAGGCAACGCAGGACCUGUGGGCUGAGGCUAACGAGGUUGAUUGCCUGACAAAACAGAAAAAAAAAAAAAUUCUUUAGGGAAUUUUAGCAGAACCCAGCAUCUCCCA